rnacentral:rRNA from 1 species
UCUACGGGAGGCUGCAGUGGGGAAUAUUGGACAAUGGGCGCAAGCCUGAUCCAGCAAUGCCGCGUGUGUGAAGAAGGCCUUCGGGUUGUAAAGCACUUUUAUCAGGAGCGAAAUGCCAUGGGCCAAUACCCCGUGGAGCUGACGGUACCUGAGGAAUAAGCACCGGCUAACUUCGUGCCAGCAGCCGCGGUAAUACGAAGGGUGCAAGCGUUAAUCGGAAUUAGUGGGGGUAAUGCGUGCGUAGGCGGUUGAAAUCCCCGGGCUCAACCUGGGAAUGGCAAUGGAUACUGGCGGGCUAGAGUGUGUCAGAGGAUGGUGGAAUUCCCGGUGUAGCGGUGAAAUGCGUAGAGAUCGGGAGGAACAUCAGUGGCGAAGGCGGCCAUCUGGGACAACACUGACGCUGAAGCACGAAAGCGUGGGGAGCAAACAGGAUUAGAUACCCCAGUAGUC